GGAGGGAUUAGCUCAAGUGAUAGAGCGCAUGCUUAGCAAACAGAAGGUCCUGGGUUCAAUCCCCAGUACCUCCU
rnacentral:tRNA from 1 species